rnacentral:rRNA from 1 species
GACGAACGCUGGCGGCGUGCUUAACACAUGCAAGUCGAACGGUGAAGGGAUCAGCUUGCUGGUUCUGGAUGAGUGGCGAACGGGUGAGUAACACGUGAGUAACCUGCCCCCUUCUUCUGGAUAACCGCAUGAAAGUGUGGCUAAUACGGGAUAUUCUGGGUCUGUCGCAUGAUGGGUCUGGGAAAGAUAUUGUUUCGGUGGGGGAUGGGCUCGCGGCCUAUCAGCUUGUUGGUGGGGUGAUGGCCUACCAAGGCGGUGACGGGUAGCCGGCCUGAGAGGGUGGACGGUCACACUGGGACUGAGACACGGCCCAGACUCCUACGGGAGGAAGCAGUGGGGAAUAUUGCACAAUGGGCGCAAGCCUGAUGCAGCGACGCCGCGUGAGGGAGGGAGGCCUUCGGGUUGUAAACCUCUUUCGCCAGUGAAGCAGGCCUGCUCCUUGUGGGUGGGUUGACGGUAGCUGGAGAAGAAGCGCCGGCUAACUACGUG